UACGGGGGGAGCAAGCGUUGUUCGGAUUUACUGGGCGUAAAGGGCGCGUAGGCGGCCAGCACAAGUCAGUUGUGAAAUCUCCGAGCUUAACUCGGAAAGGUCAACUGAUACUGUGCGGCUAGAGUGCGGAAGGGGCAACUGGAAUUCUUGGUGUAGCGGUGAAAUGCGUAGAUAUCAAGAGGAACACCUGCGGCGAAGGCGGGUUGCUGGGCCGACACUGACGCUGAGGCGCGAAAGCUAGGGAGCAACAGG
rnacentral:rRNA from 1 species